GUUUCAAUCGUAUCACCGUCGAAGCAGAAGACUCUGCUGAGCUUGACAGGAGUUUUGGCCGGUAUAGAUGUGUUUGCUAAUCGAGUUUAGGUUAUCUUAUGAGAGGAUAUUAUUUUAGGGCCUUGUAUCUGAUAAUUGGGAAUAAAAAUGAAUGAGUUGAAUGCAUGGUUUGACCAAGAAAAAAUGAUUAGUGAUUUGACUUAUUUUCAUCAACGUAACGAAAUGUCCUUUGAGAAAUUUAAUGGGUAUGUACAUGAGAUGACCAUAGAAGACUUCAUAAUUAAUUCACACCAAAAACCAAGUUAAAGAUAUUAUCAACAUCAAUUAAAUAAACGACAAGUUUCAUCAACGAAACUCUAAUCAUACUCAUUCCAAAGACGAUACUUUCAACAAAUCACUAAAGCAUAACAAACAACAAAUCAACGGACUCUAAAAAACGCUUUAUAUCAGAUCAAUAAAACUAGAAAUGAACAAAACAACCAACUUAGAAUAUUCCAGGAGCUAGCAGCAGAACACACGAUGAGAGAAAACACACAAGAACCCUAAUUAUAAUCAAACGAGAUAGCAGCGAAGAGAAUCAGAGAGACGACAAGUAGAGAGGAACGAAAACUCACAGAGAGAAAAGCUUCUUCGCGGCUAGACUGAAGUGUAUCCAAGUCUAGGGUUUACGAGCUUUAAAACGAUUACUCUACAGCUCUAAAUGGUGAACAUGCACCAAGAGCAAAGAGGAUAUAAAUAAACUAUCCAGCACCAAGAGAACAUGAUAAAAAAAGGUUUAUUCCAAAGAACAAUCUGAACGGACACAAAAUGCAAACCAAUGCAGAGUAUAGUAACACAAAGAAUCAGAAUAUUGGCCAAAGUCCCUAACGUAAGCAAACAAAUCAUAGUUUUUUA
rnacentral:lncRNA from 1 species